rnacentral:rRNA from 1 species
GACAGAGGGGGCAAGCGUUGCUCGGAAUUACUGGGCGUAAAGGGCGCGUAGGCGGGAUGGUAAGUCGGUCGUGAAAUCCCUCGGCUCAACCGAGGAACGUCGAUCGAUACUACCGUUCUUGAGGAUUGCAGAGGAGACUGGAAUUCCCGGUGUAGCGGUGAAAUGUGUAGAGAUCGGGAGGAACACCGGUGGCGAAGGCGGGUCUCUGGGCCGACACUGACGCUGAGGCGCGAAAGCCAGGGGAGCGAACGGG